rnacentral:rRNA from 1 species
UACAGAGGUCCCGAGCGUUGUUCGGAUUCAUUGGGCGUAAAGGGUGCGUAGGCGGUCUUCUGAGUUUGAUGUGAAAUCCCGGGGCUCAACCCUGGAAUUGCAUUGAAUACUGGAGGACUAGAGUACUGGAGAGGAAACUGGAAUUUACGGUGUAGCAGUGAAAUGCGUAGAGAUCGUAAGGAAGACCAGUGGCGAAGGCGAGUUUCUGGACAGUAACUGACGCUGAGGUACGAAGGCCAGGGGAGCAAACAGG